rnacentral:lncRNA from 1 species
ACUGCGCAUGCUCCCCAGCUGGGCCGGCUGCGGACGCGGGAAGGGAGGUGGUGGCGACUGACGGAACUGGGUGAAGCUUCUGCAGAUGGCCUCCCCUCUCUGCGACUGGUUCCUUAUCGAGGCAAUGGAGAUGUGGACUGCGGUGACUGAUCAAGCCUCACAUAUCUACUGAAUCAGGAAGCCCGAAGGCCUGAGGCCUCCCGAGUGGCCCCAUGGGAGCGUCGUGCAUUUUUCUGGGCCCGAUGACGAUGCUGGCCUGGCGGGGGACUUGGCUGACCCGGCCUCCGCACAGGUGGACUAGUUCACAGAGCUUGGCCACUGGGGGGCUGCUGGCAGGCGAGACAAACAUCGCUGGCUGGUCGGCAAAGAGGGUUCCGCGGUACGGCCCUGCAGACAAGUGGCACUCGCUUCGGCACAGCUGUGGGGCAGACAGAGAUAGAAUUACAGAGCAUAAUAAAUACCGAGCCUCAGCAGCUUUCAUGUGCCUUGCAGGAGACAGUGGCAGCAGGGGCAAAUGAUUCUUCCUGGAUGGUGACUUU